rnacentral:lncRNA from 1 species
GAGGACUGUAGGUCGGCCAUCAUACAAGGAGAUCUCUUCUUGGAGCAUCUUCUCCCAUGCAGUUGCCGCUUGAAGCUGUUCAACGGUAGCAGUCUUUUCAGCAUUGGCGACCAUCACUUUAUCCAUCCAUCCCCGAUGGAGGUCGGCGAUCUUCUGAUAUCCACUCUCUAAAGCAUACAUAUUGUGCACCCACUGAAAAGAAAAAAAUAAGUCAAGAUAGAUAAAAAAAAGAUAGAGGGAAAUGUUGGAAACUUACCCUGAGCAUCAUCGGAUAAAAUGAGGAAAACAUUUCGAACACCGUCUGAUUUCUCCUAUGCUCCCUAUCAAUCAGGAGAAGCGCAGCCUCGAUGAGUUGUCUGGCCAAUGAUGGAUUGGCCAAGGCCGACUCACCGACAGGGAUUCUGAUGUUGAAGAGGGUGGAGAGGCCCACAGAUGACUCAUCAUCGAUAGAAGUAGCCGGUGCCUUCCCUCGGUCCCCAGUAGGUGGUUGCAUGCUUAAGACUAUCAUGAAGUUGUGCUCAACUGUGCCUGAGAUCAUUCCACUGGAGGAACAGCUGGCGCAGCAGCAGAUUGUUUGGGUUCGGCCAUGACUUUUGAUUCAGUCCGAACCCCCAUUGAUGGAACC